UAAUGAUGAUAAUGGAAAUUCCUGUGCAUACCCUUGAAUCUUUCUAAAGUUUGGUAAAGAUUUUCUUAAUCUUUCUGCCUGAAACUAAGAAUCUUACUUCUCAAACA
rfam:Capsicum annuum cultivar Zunla-1 chromosome 6, whole genome shotgun sequence